CAUUCCUUCUAAGUCAGAAAAGUAUCCACGCACCGCCAGCACUCUAUGUAUGCCCAAUAGCACGCCUCCGUUUCCGCACUUCCUGUCGUUGCCCCUCCUCAGUAACAAGCUGCGCAACUCCUGCCCACCACACGUCAUUGAUGCGUGGCAUUGAUGGGAAGGGCGAGUCUAGCCGGGAGGGCGUCGAAGUGGACGUUGUUACUGGUGUGGUCGCUGAGGACUUGCGGAAAGACGGCGUAGUGGACAACCAGUCUAUUUUACUCGCGCAGAAUGAACCCAGCAGCGUUGAGGAGGGCGAGCGCUACAAGCGCGAUGCUACGACUGUACACCGUCUGUUCAAGCGCACGAUCAUCCGCAACAGCGUCUUCCUGUGGCUGGUGGGCUUCAUCAACAACUUCCACUACUGCCUCGUCAUGUCGGCUGCUGCAAGCCUUGCGGAGGGCUACGGCCUCAAGAAACUUGUCGCCCUUAUCACGUGGGCGAACAUCUUUUUCGGCAUCUUCGCCCGCAUACUGAACAUGUUCAUUGCGAACCGUGUGUCCUACAAUCUGCGCAUCACGGCGAUGGCUCUCUCUUCUUUGCUAGGCAUCUUCUUCGUCAGUUUCGCAACGCCAAUGGGAGGACAUAACAACGUGGCAGCGUUUGUUGUGAUGCUCAUUGGCGUUGUUCUUCUCGGCACUGCCUCAAAUUAUGGAGAGAGCGUGAUGCUCACCUUCGUACAGCGCUACCCCGACUCGAUUGUCGGGGCGUGGAGCAGCGGCACAGGCAUCUCCGGCGUCGCCGCGUCGCUCAUCUUUUUGGGCCUCACCAGCGCCGGCCUGACGCAGCAGCAGACGUUCCUGGUGUCCACACCUCUGUGCAUCAUCUACUGGCUGUGCUUCAUGUUAGGCAUGGUGUCUCCGCGCAAGGUACUUGUGGCGACACGCACGAAUGGGAAGAGAGAGGAUAUCAUUAUUUACUGCCUGGAGGGGGAGGAGGACGCGCACAUCUGCCUGCUGCGCGAAAGGGCGCUUGCUCGACAAGACGUUGUCAGCGUGUCGGAGGACUACGAGAUCAAAAUGAUCAUGAACAUCCGUGCCGUGCCAUGGCACCGGUCGCCGGUCGUACACAAGCCCGAGCCAAUCGCUGAGGAGGGCGACGGACUGUACUACCCGUGCUGCCGCGUCAUAUGCGGGUGCUGCUCGCCGAGCAACGGGCUGCGUCGCUGGUGGCGUGACGUGGGCCCAGACCUGAUCUUUAUGCACAACACCAUGAUCUGGUUCUUCUUCAACCUCGCUGUCGUGUAUAUUGCUGAGUACGCUGCGCAGCUGAUGGCGCCGUUCAGCUUCUACUGUGAGCCGGAGUGGAAGGACAACUUCUGGGUGAAGAACUCGUACGUUGUGUGCCAGUUUUGCUACCAGCUCGGCGUGCUCAUCUCGCGCAGCUCGCUGCUGAUCGUCAAGAUCCCGUAUGUGGGCAUCAUAUCGAUCAUCCAGGUCGUCAACGCGGUGUGCUGGAUUGUGCAAGCCAGAGUUAUGUACAUCAAGUCGAACACGAAGAGCCGACAGGUUGGCCUGUCCUUCAUCCUGUUCGCGUGGAUGAUCUUCAUCGGGCUGAUGGGCGGUGCCUCGUACGUGAACGUGUUGUACCUCAUCCUGAAGCGGAGCACGACGUUGCGCGAGCGCGAGGAGCGCGAGGCCGUGGAAGCGUAUCUCACAAGCAAGGGCCACGACGUGAGCCAGUGCAGAUAUGCCGAGGACAGUGAACCCAGAAAGAAGGCUGCCGACGAGCGCGCGGCACCCGUGGUAGCCAAGCUGGAGCGCAAGCCCAUGAACGAGAUCAUGCCCCAACCCUCGCAAUGUGAUACCGCAAGCGCUGCACCACAGGCUCAGAUUCUUGGGCUUCCCUCACCCAAGAGGAGCGCGAUGCGAUAAAGGCUAUUCACUGCAAUCUCAACGACGUGUGGGCGGCCCGCCGUGAGAUGGGCAUGAACAUUGGAGCCCUGUACGCGACUGUGGGCAUCACGCUUGGCACAGUCGUCGACUUGAUCUUCACAAACACGAUGCUCAAGCACAGUACGAGCUGCUAGCAGCCCGUCCCCCAAAGUACGGCCGGCAAAGGGGGAAAGAAAACAAUAGCAGCGCGGAAGGGAUCUGCGACUGCACAAGCAAGCGCAGAUGACAGGCCUGCGAAAGUGAGCGAGAGCUCACAUCGCAGCGAACGCACUGCAGAUGUGGGGCGAUUUCUACGCGUUUUUCCUCUCUGUUGACCGUAGUGGUUCUGUUUGUGCAGCACUCAUUCGUACUAGUGCGUCGUCCAUGACCUCUGAGGUUGCUUCUUCCCCAGAGCCCGUCAUACCCCAUAGUGGGUAGCAUCGCCGUCAAAGUUAUGUUUUCUUUCAAUAUUUCUUUCGUCUUUCUAUCACAUAUGUGUGCUUGCGCUCAGUUGUCAUCGGGUGCGAUCGAAAGAAAGCCUCUUUUUUCGGAUGGGGUUCCCCUACCAUGCUGCUGAAGAAGCACGAUGCGCUCAUGGCGAAGCUCGGCACUGGCAGGGCCUUUCUCAUGGGCACUGUGAUUCUUGCCAGCUGAUCAUCUGCACCUGUUUCAGGCGGCUCUCCGGAGAAAAGAUGUGGCGCACGCCCGCUCAAGGCUCCAUCUCGUGACAAAUAAGCUUUUUCAGCAUCCGACAUCUUUUCUGGUGGGCUGAUGUUCAUAAUCGCGCUCGCUUCUCGUGCACGUCGUGACUUUUUUCUCUUUUGUUUCUCGACUUUGAGGCCCUCCGCUUUUCCAG
rnacentral:misc_RNA from 1 species